rnacentral:rRNA from 1 species
UACGAAGGGUGCAAGCGUUACUCGGAAUUACUGGGCGUAAAGCGUGCGUAGGUGGUUUGUUAAGUCUGUUGUGAAAGCCCCGGGCUCAACCUGGGAAUGGCAAUGGAUACUGGCAAGCUAGAGUGCGGUAGAGGGUAGUGGAAUUCCCGGUGUAGCGGUGAAAUGCGUAGAGAUCGGGAGGAACACCAGUGGCGAAGGCGGUUGCCUGGAGCUUUGCUGACGCUGAUGCGCGAAAGCGUGGGGAGCAAUCCGG